rnacentral:rRNA from 1 species
GACGAACCGUGCGAACGUUGUUCGGAAUCACUGGGCUUAAAGGGCGCGUAGGCGGCCGGGUUGGUCGUGGGUGAAAUCCCCCAGCUUAACUGGGGAAUUGCCUACGAUACUGCCUGGCUCGAGGGAGGAAGGGGCGGCCGGAACUGUCGGUGGAGCGGUGAAAUGCGUAGAUAUCAAGAGGAACACCUGCGGCGAAGGCGGGUUGCUGGGCCGACACUGACGCUGAGGCGCGAAAGCCAGGGGAGCGAACGGG